ACCCUCCCCUUUUUUCAGGAUUCAAUUCCCUCUCCCCAACUCACAAAAUCUUUCAGGCCCAAAUUUCCUCUCUUCAUCACCUUCUCUACCGAGAGAAAGUCGGCGCAAUCAGAACAACAAAGGUGAUUGUUGUAGAAAAUUACUCCAAUGGAACAAAGGAUAAUCUAAAGCAACGGAUUGAUCAUCCAAGAUUUGAGCUAGUUCGUGAAGCGGUACUGAUACAGAUACUAAUGGAAUUCAUGUCUGCGAAAUUUAAUUAAGUCCCUUAACAAAUUAGACGUUGAACUUAGUGAUGUGGAGAGCGGAUCUACUUCCCCUCAUGGAUGUAAGAGUAGCAUCAAGCGAUAACAAUGCAAAUCACCAAGCAAGUACAUUGCACUUUGUAUAUUUAUUUAUUGAGGAUGAGGAUCUACUCUUUAUUGUAUAAUGUUUAAGUUAUCAUACAUUUAUUUGUAUAAUUUUUGUUUGAUAUGAAUUUGAAAUUGUGAUGUUUGUUAGUAUUGAUAUUUUUAAUGGAAUUUGAUUUCUGUUGUGA